rnacentral:rRNA from 1 species
GCUGGCGGCGUGCCUAACACAUGCAAGUCGAACGAGAAACCUCGGGCUUGCUCGAGGGAGUAAAGUGGCGCACGGGUGAGUAACGCGUGGGUAACCUGCCCUUGGAUCGGGGAUAACUUCGCGAAAGCGUAGCUAAUACCGGAUAAUGUGCUGUUGACUUCGGUCUUCAGGAUGAAAGAUGACCUCUUCAUGAAAGUUGUCGUUCAGGGAGGGGCCCGCGUACCAUUAGCUUGUUGGUGGGGUAAUGGCCCACCAAGGCAACGAUGGUUAGCUGGUCUGAGAGGAUGAUCAGCCACACUGGAACUGAAACACGGUCCAGACUCCUACGGGAGGCAGCAGUGAGGAAUUUUGCGCAAUGGGGGAAACCCUGACGCAGCAACGCCGCGUGAGUGAAGAAGGCUUUCGGGUCGUAAAGCUCUGUCAAGUGGGAAAAAAAGCUCUCGAUUAAUAGUCGGGAGACCUGAUGGUACCACUGGAGGAAGCACCGGCUAACUCCGUGCCAGCAGCCGCGGUAAUACGGAGGGUGCAAGCGUUGUUCGGAAUUACUGGGCGUAAAGAGCGUGUAGGCGGUUUGGCAAGUCAGAUGUGAAAGCCCUGGGCUCAACCCAGGAAGUGCAUUUGAAACUGCCAUCCUUGAGUAUGGGAGAGGAGAGUGGAAUUCCCAAUGUAGAGGUGAAAUUCGUAGAUAUUGGGAGGAACACCCGUGGCGAAGGCGACUCUCUGGACCAAUACUGACGCUGAGACGCGAAAGCGUGUGGAGCAAACAGGAUUAGAUACCCUGGUAGUCCACGCCGUAAACGAUGAGAACUAGGUGUAGCGGGUAUUGACCCCUGCUGUGCCGAAGUUAACGCACUAAGUUCUCCGCCUGGGGAGUACGGCCGCAAGGCUAAAACUCAAAGGAAUUGACGGGGGCCCGCACAAGCGGUGGAGCAUGUGGUUUAAUUCGACGCAACGCGAAGAACCUUACCUGGGUUUGACAUCCUUUGACCGUCUGGGAAACCAGAUUUUUCCGACUUUGUCGGAACAGAGUGACAGGUGCUGCAUGGCUGUCGUCAGCUCGUGUCGUGAGAUGUUGGGUUAAGUCCCGCAACGAGCGUAACCCUUGUCUUUAGUUGCCAUUAUUAAGUUAGGCACUCUAAAGAGACCGCCUCGGUUAACGGGGAGGAAGGUGGGGAUGACGUCAAGUCCUCAUGGCCUUUAUAUCCAGGGCUACACACGUGCUACAAUGGGCU